rnacentral:rRNA from 1 species
UAACACGUAAAGAACCUACCUUAUAGACAGGGACAACUAUUGGAAACGAUAGCUAAUACCUGAUAAGAAAGAAACUCGCAUUANAGAAAUCGAAAGUCGGAGCAAUCUGACACUAUAAGAUGGCUUUGCGGUGCAUUAGCUAGUUGGUAGGGUAAAAGCCUACCAAGGCGACGAUGCAUAGCCGACCUGAGAGGGUGAUCGGCCACAUUGGGACUGAGACACGGCCCAGACUCCUACGGGAGGCAGCAGGC